rnacentral:rRNA from 1 species
GGUAGAUGGGGGCAAGCCUGAUCCAGCCAUGCCGCGUGAAGGAUGAAGGCCCUAUGGGUCGUAAACUUCUUUUAUACGGGACAAAACCCCCCGACGUGUCGGGGGUUGAUGGUACUGUAACAAUAAGGUCGGCUAACUUCGUGCCAGCAGCCGCGGUAAUACGAAGGACCCGAGCGUUAUCCGGAUUUAUUGGGUUUAAAGGGUGCGUAGGCGGAUUAGUAAGUCAGUGGUGAAAGCCCAUCGCUCAACGGUGGAACUGCCAUUGAUACUGCUAGUCUUGAGUAUGGUUGAGGUGGGCGGAAUGUGUCAUGUAGCGGUGAAAUGCUUAGAUAUGACACAGAACACCAAUUGCGAAGGCAGCUCGCUAAGCCAUAACUGACGCUGAGGCACGAAAGCGUGGGGAGCAAACAGGAUUAGAUACCCUGGUAGUCCACGCCCUAAACGAUGAUAACUCGAUGUUGGCGAUACACAGUCAGCGUCUAAGCGAAAGCAUUAAGUUAUCCACCUGGGAAGUACGACCGCAAGGUUUGAAACUCAAA